rnacentral:rRNA from 1 species
AUUGAACGCUGGCGGCAUGCUUUACACAUGCAAGUCGAACGGCAGCACGGGCUUCGGCCUGGUGGCGAGUGGCGAACGGGUGAGUAAUAUAUCGGAACGUACCCAGCAGUGGGGGAUAACGUAGCGAAAGUUACGCUAAUACCGCAUACGAUCUAUGGAUGAAAGCAGGGGACCGCAAGGCCUUGUGCUCCUGGAGCGGCCGAUAUCUGAUUAGCUAGUUGGUGAGGUAAAGGCUCACCAAGGCGACGAUCAGUAGCUGGUCUGAGAGGACGACCAGCCACACUGGAACUGAGACACGGUCCAGACUCCUACGGGAGGCAGCAGUGGGGAAUUUUGGACAAUGGGCGCAAGCCUGAUCCAGCAAUGCCGCGUGAGUGAAGAAGGCCUUCGGGUUGUAAAGCUCUUUUGUCAGGGAAGAAACGGUAGAGGCUAAUAUCCUUUGCUAAUGACGGUACCUGAAGAAUAAGCACCGGCUAACUACGUG